rnacentral:rRNA from 1 species
AACGUAGGUGGCAAGCGUUAUCCGGAUUUACUGGGCGUAAAGGGUGUGCAGGCGGUGUUCCAAGUGGUGUAUGAAAUCGCCCGGCUUAACCGGGCGGGGUUAUGCCAGACUGGGAGACUAGAGGACGGGAGAGGGGCGUGGAAUUCCGGGUGUAGUGGUGAAAUGCGUAGAGAUCCGGAGGAACCCCAGCGGCGAAGGCGGCGCCCUGGCCCGUCCCUGACGCUCAGACACGACAGCAUGGGGAGCGAACGGG